rnacentral:rRNA from 1 species
GACGAACGCUGGCGGCGUGCUUAACACAUGCAAGUCGAACGGAAAGGCCCUGCUUGCAGGGUACUCGAGUGGCGAACGGGUGAGUAACACGUGGGUGAUCUGCCCUGCACUUCGGGAUAAGCCUGGGAAACUGGGUCUAAUACCGGAUAGGAGCCAUUUUUAGUGUGAUGGUUGGAAAGUUUUUUCGGUGUAGGAUGAGCUCGCGGCCUAUCAGCUUGUUGGCGGGGUAAUGGCCUACCAAGGCGGCGACGGGUAGCCGGCCUGAGAGGGUGGACGGCCACAUUGGGACUAAGAUACGGCCCAGACUCCUACGGGAGGCAGCAGUGGGGAAUAUUGCACAAUGGGCGCAAGCCUGAUGCAGCGACGCCGCGUGGGGGAUGACGGCCUUCGGGUUGUAAACUCCUUUCGCUAGGGACGAAGCUUUUUGUGACGGUACCUAGAUAAGAAGCACCGGCUAACUACGUG